UCAGAGGAAUUUGUCUUUUAAUCGUCAUUACCCGUUUAUUUUCACUUUCUUUCAUUUUCUAUAUCACCGUCUUAAGAUUAAAAUCUGAAGUUUAAUCUUAAACUCUUUUGGUAAGUCAGGUCAAGGUGGAGAUUAUAAGGAAGGCUAGAUUAAUUAUUAAUAAACUAUAUUUAAAGUCGUUUCUCUAAAGGGAUUCUAAAUUAAGAUUUGAAAGUAGUUUUCUAUUAAAAAUUUAAAACGAACUUUGUCUUAGGUGUACAUAUCGCCCGUCACCCUCGUCCAAAGAUGAGGUAAGUCGUAACAUAGUUAGUGUACUGGAAAGUGUACUAAGGGGAAUUAAAAGCUUUAGCGUUUCAUUUACACAGAAAAGUAUGUUUAUAAAAUUUUACUAUCGUUUAUUACUUAAAAUAAUAUUUAUAAAAUUUCAAUUCUAGUUUCUUAUUCGUUACCGUAGGGGCCAACUUAUUAUCUUUAAGAAAUUUUUAUUAUUACCUUUUGUAUCAGGGUGUUUCAAACCUUAUCUUGAAAAAGAUUCUCCCGAAAUAAAAUGAGCUACUUAAUUUAGUAUACUUUAUAGCAAAAAAAUAGAAAAAAUUUAGUAGAAGUGAAAUUCUAUUCGUAUUUUCAUAUCUGGUUUUUUCAGAGAGUACAAUUACUUUUAUCUAAAAAGGGAUAAUCUUUUUUAGUAAUUCUCCUCUCUUCCCCUUAAUCUUUAUAGGAUUAGUAGUGUCCUUUAGUGUAAAAACUGUCUAUAUUUUUACUCUUAAUUAUAUAAUGAAAUUUUUAUCUUUUUAUAAAAAUAAUGAUUCAAUUAGUAAAGAUCAAUUUCAAUUAUUCAAUUUAUUAGUCUUAUUAAAAUAUAUCUUUAAAUUUUUAUUCAUAAACUCAGCUAAGUUUUCUGUCUGUUUACCAAAAACAUUUCUGAAUGUGAUUUCUUUUCAGUAAGGCCUGCUCAAUGAACUUUCAAUAGCCGCAAUUACGUGCUAAGGUAGCAUAAUCACUUGCCUUUUAAUUUGAGGCUAGAAUGAAAGGUUUAACAUGAUAACUUCUUUAUAAAUGUAAAUUCUUAAAUUUUACUUAUAAGUAAAAAGGCUUAUAUUCACAAGGGGGACGACAAGACCCUGACGAGCUUAACUUUAUUAGUUGCACUGGGGUGGUAGAAAACUAAAUCUUUUUAUUCUAUUUCUAUUUAUCCUAAAUAUAAGAUUUACAAGUUACCGCAGGGAUAACAGCAUAAUUUUUUUCUAGAGACCUUAUCUAAAAGAAAGAUUGUGACCUCGAUGUUGAAUUAAUU
rnacentral:rRNA from 1 species